rnacentral:rRNA from 1 species
UACGUAGGGGGCGAGCGUUGUCCGGAGUUACUGGGCGUAAAGGGCAUGCAGGCGGUCCGACACGUUUUGUGUGACAGCGGGUGGCUUAACUACCCGAGGAUACGAAAGACGGUUGGACUUGAGGACUCGAGAGGGACACGGAAUUCCGGGUGGAGUGGUGAAAUGUGUUGAUAUCGGAAGGAACGCCGGUGGCGAAAGCGACACACUGGAUCUUGUCUGACGCUGAGGCACGAAAGCCAGGGGAGCGAACGGG